UACGAAGGGGGCUAGCGUUGUUCGGAUUUACUGGGCGUAAAGCGCACGUAGGCGGUUUGUUAAGUGAGAGGUGAAAUCCCAGAGCUCAACUCUGGAACUGCCUUUCAUACUGGCAAGCUAGAGUCCGGAAGAGGUAAGUGGAACUCCUAGUGUAGAGGUGGAAUUCGUAGAUAUUAGGAAGAACACCAGUGGCGAAGGCGGCUUACUGGUCCGGAACUGACGCUGAGGUGCGAAAGCGUGGGGGAGCAAACAGG
rnacentral:rRNA from 1 species